rnacentral:rRNA from 1 species
GCACGUAGUUAGCCGGUGCUUCUUCUGCGAGUACUGUCAUUAGUCCGUGGUGUUGGCACGGACCGUUUCGUCCCCGCCGAAAGAGCUUUACAACCCGAAGGCCUUCUUCACUCACGCGGCAUGGCUGGAUCAGGCUUGCGCCCAUUGUCCAAAAUUCCCCACUGCUGCCUCCCGUAGGAGUCUGGACCGUGUCUCAGUUCCAGUGUGGCUGGUCGUCCUCUCAGACCAGCUACGGAUCGUCACCUUGGUGGGCCGUUACCCCGCCAACUAGCUAAUCCGACAUCGGCCGCUCCAAUAGUGCGAGGCCUUGCGGUCCCCCGCUUUCACCCGUAGGUCGUAUGCGGUAUUAGCCUAUCUUUCGACAGGUUAUCCCCCGCUACUGGACACGUUCCGAUGUAUUACUCACCCGUUCGCCGCUCGCCGCCAGGGUUGCCCCCGCGCUGCCGCUCGACUUGCAUGUGUAAGGCAUGCCGCCAGCGUUCAAU